CUUCUUAAGUUCUAAACUAAAAAACCUCUGCAACUGAAUAUCCACCUACGUUUCGAGAGAUUUGCAGAAAAUCAAUGAUGGAGAUAAAGGAUUGAGUUGGUUUCUCUUCGCUUCCUUGAUUAGGCAUGCAGUAUUUUUCAUCUCUUUCUCUUCUAAACAACGAAAAUUCCAUCCCUCCAACUGAAUCAAUCACGAAGAAUCUGCAACUGAAUCAGUCACGGAGAUGAAGAAUUGAAUUGUUGUUUUCCCACUUAGUUGGGCUCAUUUGAAGGUUAGGAAGAAGGUAGAUGAACAACGUCAACUAUGCUGCCAGAUAGGAGAGAACGAAAGGGUGGGGUUGGUGGUACCAUUGAUCGGCUUGAGGAGAACUUCAAAAAUUCGAAAUAGCACGUGCAAGAAGAAAGUUAUAUCUAGGGAAAGAAAUGAAACAGUUACUUUUUUAAAGUUGCUAACUUUUUCUGAUGUUGGUCUCAGUUUUGCUAGAAUACAUUACCAAAUUUAUUGUUUGUCUUGCACUCUUACUGUUUUGGCAACUUCGUUUAAUUACAAACUUGAUACAGCUAAA